CCUAGUCUAAAUCGAGUAGGUAUUUAUGAGGAAUCACUGAAGGUCGAUCUUCAGCUAUCCUUCCAUUUCCUCAUCGUAGAAUUUCUUAAUUUAUACAAAAUAAGCUUUUGUAGCGUUUCCCUGAACUCAUGGUGCUAAAUCUUAAGUUUCUUUACCUACUGUCUUUUUCUCGAGGUCGAGCCGAUGUCCUGCCUCUUCCGAACUUGCUUCACAUUGAAGGAGCACCCUAUAGAGGUCGGAUAAUGGUACACCUCUCCUCGAAAGGGACGUCAUCUCUUCCGAGGUACUCCUUCCUCGGUACAUAACUGAAAGAAGCAUUUCUUUUUUAUCUCGAUCGAGCAAUCUUGGGACUUCAACACGUCAAGGGGUCGACCUCAUAGAUCGACGAUCAGAGCUCCAACUUUAUCAGAUGCCAAGGAAGAGGUAUUGGAGUAGAUCUUUGGUCAUACUCCCCCUCCAUUGACCAAGCUCCUUAAUUGAGGAGAAUUUAUUCAAGAUUGGAUUGAGUUCAGCGACCCUAAAUGUAAGUCUAUUCUUUUUUUUAUGCAUCUUCUUUAUUUUGGCGCUACUUUCCUUUUUGACUAACCUCGUCUUCCAUACAGCAAUGAAUCCCAAGGAUCUGGAGGCUGUUCAUCAAGCUGCGAAUAAGAGGAAGGCAAGUACGGCCCCUGCUUCGAAACAUGGCCAAACUGAGGCCGUGCUGGCGCAGCCCAUGGUCAGAGAUUCCUCGAGGCCC
rnacentral:lncRNA from 1 species